AGUCCCGCUGUGGGGUCAGAGUGGAGGACACAUGACAGUCUGUGACUCCUUUUCUCACGUGACUUUGGCCCUUUAGGAGUCACCUAACUUUCUCAGGGGAUUUCCACUGUGACCCGUUUUUAUUUUCCUUACUUAGAGGUAAAGCCGUAAGACUUGGAGCCCACCCGGUUGACCCCUGGGAGAAGGCAGGGGUCCUCUGGGGAGGUUAGGGGCAAGAGCCCGGCUGCAGAGGUGGGAGGACCCCCUUCCUGCAGGAGGUGCUCCCAGACUCUCAGCCCUUCCUCCCCUCCCCUGCCGGGCCCCUCCCUGACUCGGGCCUGUGCUUCUGCCAUUUCCUUGGCCUAGAAGGCAGCCCAGAGGUCUCCCAAGGCCCAGGCCCAGUCGCCUCCUCUGGGAGCCUCUGUGUAUCCCCUCCACCCUGGUGGGCACUGUCCCUCCUGGGGGACCGUGUCCCAUUCCUUAGCACCCUCUGGCCUGUACCUGGGAUUCCUCAGCCCACUCCCUGCUCGGCCCCAUCCAGAGCUGCCCACACGGCACCUGUGCCUGUCCUGGGCCCCACCGCUAGGAAAGAGGA